rnacentral:rRNA from 1 species
CGGACGGGUGAGUAACGCGUGGAAAACCUGCCGUAUACUGGGGGAUAACACUUAGAAAUAGGUGCUAAUACCGCAUAAGCGCACAGCUUCGCAUGAAGCGGUGUGAAAAACUCUGGUGGUAUACGAUGGUUCCGCGUCUGAUUAGCUAGUUGGUGGAGUAAUGGCCUACCAAGGCAACGAUCAGUAGCCGGCCUGAGAGGGUGAACGGCCACAUUGGGACUGAGACACGGCCCAAACUCCUACGGGAGGCAGCAG